rnacentral:rRNA from 1 species
CCUACGAGAGGCAGCAGUGAGGAAUAUUGGUCAAUGGGCGCGAGCCUGAACCAGCCAAGUAGUGUGAAGGCUGACUGCCCUACGGGUUGUAAACUUCUUUUAUAAAGGAAUAAAGUGAGGCACGUGUGCCUUUUUGUAUGUACUUUAUGAAUAAGGAUCGGCUAACUCCGUGCCAGCAGCCGCGGUAAUACGGAGGAUCCGAGCGUUGUCCGGAUUUAUUGGGUUUAAAGGGAGCGUAGUUGGGUUGUUAAGUCAGUUGUGAAAGUUUGCGGCUCAACCGUAAAAUUGCAAUUGAUACUGGCAGUCUUGAGUACAGUUGAGGUAGGCGGAAUUCGUGGUGUAGCGGUGAAAUGCUUAGAUAUCACGAAGAACUCCGAUUGCGAAGGCAGCUUACUAAACUGCCACUGACAUUGAUGCUCGAAAGUGUGGGUAUCAAACAGGAUUAGAUACCCCUGUAGUC